UUCUCUUCGGAGACACCUGAUAAAAUGGGAAAGGUAAAGUGAAGUUUAGCAUGACCCCUACGCAAGGAUGACACGUACAAAUUGAGAAAUGGCCCAAGUUUGU
rfam:Spinacia oleracea cultivar SynViroflay scaffold33079.con0006.1, whole genome shotgun sequence.